GAUGAACGCUGGCGGCGUGCCUAAUACAUGCAAGUCGAGCGAACGGACGAGAAGCUUGCUUCUCUGAUGUUAGCGGCGGACGGGUGAGUAACACGUGGAUAACCUACCUAUAAGACUGGGAUAACUUCGGGAAACCGGAGCUAAUACCGGAUAAUAUUUUGAACCGCAUGGUUCAAAAGUGAAAGACGGUCUUGCUGUCACUUAUAGAUGGAUCCGCGCUGCAUUAGCUAGUUGGUAAGGUAACGGCUUACCAAGGCAACGAUGCAUAGCCGACCUGAGAGGGGGGUCGGCCCCACUGGAAACGAGACACGGUCCCGACUCCCACGGGAGGCAGGAGGAGGGAAUCUUCCGCAAAGGGGGGAAACCUGAAGGGGCCAACCCGGGUGAGUGAAUGAGGGCUUCGGAUCGUAAAACCCUUUUAUUAGGGAAAAAAAAUUGUGGAAAGUAAUGUGCCCCAUUUGACGGGACCCAAUUCAAAAGCCCCCGCUAAAUUCGGG
rnacentral:rRNA from 1 species